rnacentral:misc_RNA from 1 species
GUACAUUCGUAGUGCUUACGCACAAUGAUAAUUUCAUUACAUUCGAGUUGGUGUGUAAAAUCCUCUGUCAGCCGAAGCCAGCAAGAGGCCAAAGGUUCACAAGGGUAUUUGGAUGAAAGUCACCAACGUGCACUUGCUGGAACCAGCCAGCACUGAAGGUAACGAUUCACAAUCACUAAUGAUCCUUCCGCAGGUUCACCUACGGAAA